rnacentral:tRNA from 1 species
GGGGGUGUAGCUGAGCGGUAGAGCGUGUGCUUAGCAUGCACGUAGGCCAUGAGUUCAAUUCCCAGCAUUUCCA